UACGGAGGGAGCUAGCGUUGUUCGGAAUCACUGGGCGUAAAGGGUGCGUAGGUGGAUUUUUAAGUCAGGGGUGAAAUCCUGGAGCUCAACUCCAGAACUGCCUUUGAUACUGGGAAUCUUGAGUUCGGGAGAGGUGAGUGGAACUGCGAGUGUAGAGGUGAAAUUCGUUGAUAUUCGCAAGAACACCAGUGGCGAAGGCGGCUCACUGGCCCGAUACUGACACUGAGGCACGAAAGCGUGGGGAGCAAACAGG
rnacentral:rRNA from 1 species